UGGUAAAAUGGUACCUGGCUUACGUCAUCACU
rnacentral:piRNA from 1 species